rnacentral:rRNA from 1 species
GACGAACGCUGGCGGCGUGCUUAACACAUGCAAGUCGAACGGAAAGGCCUGCUUUCCCUUGUGGAUUGCGGGUACUCGAGUGGCGAACGGGUGAGUAACACGUGAGUGAUCUGCCCCCAACUUGGGUAUAAGCCUGGGAAACUGGGUCUAAUUCCCGAUAGGACUGCAGGGUGGUGCCUGUGGUGGAAAACGAUUUUCUAGUGGUUGGGGAUGAGCUCGCGGCCUAUCAGCUUGUUGGUGGGGUAAUGGCCUACCAAGGCGGCGACGGGUAGCCGGCCUGAGAGGGUGGACGGGCACAGUGGGACUGAGAUACGGCCCAGACUCCGACGGGAGGCAGCAGUGGGGAAUAUGACACAAUGGGCGGAAGCCUGAUGCAGCGACGCCGCGUGGGGGAUGACGGCCUUCGGGUUGUAAACUCCUUUCGACCGCGAGGAAGCCACCUGGUUGGAAGGGUGGUGACGGUAGUGGUAGAAGAAGCACCGGCUAACUACGUG